rnacentral:lncRNA from 1 species
CGCAGAUGCGGCUUGGAUCCCACAUUGCUAUGGCUGUGGUGUGGGAACCUCCAUAUGCGAGGGUGUGGCCCUAAAAAGACAAAAAAGACCUCCAAAACUUCCUUUUCCUUUCUCAAAACAGUCUUUCCACCCAUGACGACAGCAUAUUCUUUGAUUUAUUUGGGGUCUGAUUUCUUUCAUCAGGGUUUUGUAGUUUCAGCACAUAGAUCUUGUACAUAUUUUGGAAGAUUUAUAUCUAACUAUUUCAUGUAUUUUGGUGCUAUUAUAAAUGACGCUAUUUUAAAAAAUUCCUUUUCCAAUGGUUUACUGCAGCCAUAGAGAAAUAAAAUUGAAUUUCUGUAUGUAGACCGUGUAUCCUUCAGAAAAAAAGUUUUCUUCAAAAAAAGUCCUUAGAGUUUUCCUACCUAGUCGAUCUGGUCUUUAGUGAAUAAAGACAGUUUUACUCCUUUUUUUUUUUUGGCCACGCCCACAGCAUGUGCAAAUUCCCAGGCCAGGGAUUGAACCUGAGCCACAGAGCAGGGACCACACUGGAUCUUGAACUUGCUGAGCCACCCUGGAACUCCAGUUAUACUCUUUCUUUUCCAAUCUAAAGAUUUUUUUGCCUAACUGCACGGUCUGGGACCUCCCAUAGGACAGCGGGCCAAUCAAAAUGAUGAGUGCGUAGUGAGAGGCUGUCCCUGGAAAAAGCUGCAUGAAGGGAACACAGCAGCACUACACCUGUGUGCAACUUCUUCGCGGUUUAAAAUGACUUCAAAAUAAAAAGUUCAGUGGCAGGGAAACAGCGGAGAAAGCUAACAUUCUUGCCUUACUCCCAGGCUUCAAAGGAGAAACAGUCUUUCCAAAAAAAAAGAAGAAUGAUUAACUGCAGGUUUUUCACAGAUGCCCUUUAAAGAAGUUCCUUUUUUUUUUUUAAUGCACAUUUAAAAAAAUUAAAGAAUGGUUGAUAAGAAGUUCCGUUUAUUCCUAGUUUACUAAAAGUGUUCUGCUUGUUUUUACAUCAAAAGUGAGUACUGGAUUUUGUCGAAUGCCUUUCCUGUGUCUUUUGAGAUUAUAUCGUUUUUCUUCUUAGCUCUUAACGUGGUAAAUGAUGUGGAUUUUAGAAUAUUAAACCAAACUUGCAUUCUUGGGGUAAAUCGCACUUUGUCGUGAAGUGUGACAUUUCAUUUUUGUAUGUUCUUGGAUUCAACUGGCUAAAUUUUUGCCAAGGAUUUUUGCCUCUAUGUUCUUGAAACACUGGUCUAUAUUUUUCUUUUAUACUUGUCUGCUUUUAGUAUCGGGGUGGUGGUGUCCUCAUAAAACGAACUGGGAGGAGCUCCCAGUUCUUAAAAUCAUGGAGGAUUUUGUGUUGGUUUGUUACGACCUCUUCCUUAAAUGCUUGGAACAAUUUACCAUUUGGGCUUGGAAUUUUCUUUUGCGUGAGGGCAUUUUGCUUUUGCUUUGCUCAAAUCUUUUAACAAUUUGAUUAAGGUGCAAUUUACCUUGAAAUUUACCAAUUUAAAGCAUAAGAAGAUGGGAUUACCACUUGGAAGGAAAUUAAUCUCAUUUUUUCCACCCCUGUCCUGGGAGACCUUUAACUGCAUGCCUGAGUGCCAGGCAGGCAUGAGUUGCUGAAGUCCAGUGUACUUCAGCUUCUUAAAAGUCAAGAGCUGAUUUCCGGCCCCUCCUUCCUCCUGCGCUGCUCCUCACUUGCUGCUCUGGCCUCAGCCGACGAGCUCCGGCUUCCCAUCCCACCCGCCUCCUGGGACUGUUCUCCAGAGCAUCGCCAAGAACACCACGUCCCCUCGGGGCUCGGCCCACGGACAUGCCUCAGACCCUUGUACUUGACCUUCUGCAGAGCUUGCUGGUUGACCCUCUUCCCUGGCUGUCCCGGUCCCCACAGGAAACAGGCGGCUCUUUAUAAGGCGUGCGUAACCGGGGGUAGGGACACCACAGGUGCAGCUGGGAUCUGGAGCUAUCGCCACUCCUGGGUCGGAAGGGACAGCGGCAGUGCAGGAGGCAGCCCUGGGGAGGGAACCGGGGCCUCCCAGCUCACCCCUCACCUUCUGCCAGUCUGGGCCCAUCCAGAGGGCACUAACGGGUGUGACUCAGGCAGCCUCUGGGGACGCAGAGCAGGGCAGAGGGAUGGAGAAGGAGGGUGAUUCCACCCACCCCGAUGUCCUCCAGAAAAGGCCUCUCCUUUACCAGCCUCUCAGGGCAUCCUGGGCCCCGUGGGUCCUGCGGGAUGAUCUCCUUUGUUCCGAAGGCCCAUCAGGCACCGUAAUGACACCCACACCAGUUCAGACCUCUCACGGGAGCUCCAAUCUCCGGUACGUCCAACAAAAUGGGUGCGUGGGGGAUAGGUAAGUGUCAGGUAAUUUUCUACGCCCCUUCUGUGUAUGGAUUCACUUACUGUUCACGAGAGCUCUGUGAAGUGGCUCCGUUACGCUCACCCUUGAUUACAUGGAAGUGUCAGAGCCAGGACUGGAAUCGGGGGGUGACUCAGAGCCUAUGUUCUUUUUUUUUAAGGCCGUACCUGCAGCAUAUGGACAUUCCCAGGCUAGGGGUCAAAUUGGAGCUGUACACCAAAUUGGAGCCUACACCACAGCCACAGCAACCCUGGACCUGAGCCGCAUCUGCGACCUAUGCCACAGCCUGCAGCAACGCGGGAUCCUUAACCCACCGAGCGAGGCCAGUGAUUGAACCCACAUUCUCACAGAGACUGCAUCGGGUGCUUAACCCACUGAGCCACAAUGGUUACUCUUAGAGCCACUUAACCCCUCUGAUCAAAGGCGCAUCUUCAGACUUCAGGAAAAGUUGGGCUAGGUGACAUGGUUUCCAGAAAGCCUUAGUCAGCAAAGGUCCAUGGGUCCCUGUCCCAGGAACUCUCAUGGCACAUCGGAGGCCUGUGCCUAGAAGGCUCCAGCUUGCUCCUCGCCAGGACCACCUCCCAUCCCCCGAGGGAGCGCGUCCUUCCCUGAAUAGCCAAUACAGACCAGAAGACAAAGAGAAUUCACUUUAUUGUUUACAAAACAAUGGCUCCAGCAGGAAGGAAAACAAUCAUUAACCUUAGAGCAGCGAGUGUAAAGGCUAGAUUUAAAAUAACUGAAAAUCUUCGACCGUGUGGAAGGGGUGCUUCGGGGCGCCUUGGCCGUGGGUCUCAGCUCAGUGACUGCCCCGAGUCCUCCAACCGUCCUGAUGCCAUCUCCGUAUUUUGAAAACCACACAAGCCCAAUGUCCUGGACCUUCCUCGAGGAGAUGAAGGAACACAACCAGCGCAAGAACAAGGGGUCCUUCCUGGCUCCAAGCGGCGGUGUCAGAGGUUCGAAGUGGGAGAAGUCGGUGAAACGGGGUCCGCAUGGUGACAGCCAGAGCCUGAGAGCCGCCCCCCCCCCACCAUCACCAACUCUACAUUCUGCUGGGGGUGAGGUAGCUUCUGCGCGAGGGCACCACAGGCUGAUGGCAGCUGCCCUUGUCGGCUUCCGCUCUGGCCGACCUCUGCACCGGACCCUCUGCCUUCACCCUGGAUCGUGGAGAAGAGGCCACAGGGACCGAGACACGUCGAGGUGUGCAUGAAGGGUUCCAGGGAGAAGAGACUGCAAAACUCCCCCAGGGAAGAGGCGAAAGCAAAGACAGACACUGCAGCGCCAGGCAGGCCCAUCCGCACCUCCGGUAAAGGCGCCCAGCGCCCGUGCUGGUGCAGGGCCGCCAGAACCCAGGGCCCCACUCGGGCAGGAAGUACAAAUUCCAGUCACUCGCGGCAGUCUUCAAAGGCGUGGCGUUUCUGACAGUCGCGAGGAAAAGGCCAAGCAUCCUCACCCUCAGCUUGGUGUCCUUGGGCCAAGGACUAAGAAACGCCUGGAAGUGCCUUGCCAACUGGAACUGCUUAACUGCCAUUUCUUGGAAUGAAUUUGUUGACUGCAAGACUCUGCUCUGCUAAGACUUGGCGAUUCCAUUUUAUAAGAAGGGAAACUACUGUCAUUAAUAUAUGUUAAUAAUUAAAACUUCAAAGUGCUACACA